AAACCUGGGCUUGGGGGGGCUGCUGCCAGGGUUUGCGUAUAGCGGUGUACUUGCUCUUAGAGGAUCAGGGAGUCAAAGCUGUUAAACAUAGCCAGUAGCAGCCUAAUCAUCGUUUCUCUCUGAAAAAUCAAAGAGGGAAACGAAACCAUGAAACUCUCCUUCUCUCUGCCACCCAAAUCCUCUUCAAAAUCAAACCCUAAACGCAAACCGUCAACCACCGCCACCACCUUCGACGAUGGCAAUGGCAACCCAAACGACGCCGCUUCGAAACACUUUGUCAACGAAUUCGACGCCUCCAAAACCCUAUCCACCGACCCCAAAACCCGCGUAAUCGCUCCGAUCCCGAACGAGUGGCGGCCCCACAAGAAGAUGAAGAAUCUCGAGCUUCCAAUCACCGAGCCCGGAGGCCAAGAACUUAAGUUCGAGGUCGAGACGCUAUCGGUCACCGACGACCCCGAUGCGAAGAUUUCGUACGGUCUCAAUGUGCGGCAGAAAUUGGAUGCGGAAUCGGAGAAUCGGGACGGUGGUGAUGAACGGCCGAGAUUGAGAGGUGUGGAGGACACUCUGCUUCAGAAAUUUAAAGACGACUUGGAGCGCUUGUCGGAUCACAGGGGCUUGGAGGAGUUUGAUGAGAUGCCGGUAGAGGGUUACGGCGAGGCGUUGCUUUCUGGGUACGGGUGGUACCCGGGUAGAGGGAUUGGAAAGAAUGCUAAGGAAGAUACGAAGGUUGUGGAGUAUACAAGGAGUACUGAUAGGCACGGGUUAGGGUUUCAUAUGAAUCCGAAGGAGAAAGAGAAAAAGCAAGAGAAAGAGAGAAAGAAAGAUGGGGAUUUGGGUAAGGAGGUGAGGAUUGUUUCGGGUAGAGCCUAUGUGGGUUUGAGGGGUAGGAUUGUUGAGAAAUUGGGCAAUGGAAAACUGGUAUUGAAGCUCUCGAGUAGGGGCAAAGAGCAAGAGCAAGAGGUAGUGAAAGUGAAUGUGGAUCAAGUUGCGGAAUUGGGUUCGAAAGAAGAAGAGAAGUGCUUGAAGAGAUUGAAGGAGGCCCAAAGGAAAGUGGGUAGUGAUAGUAAGCCAAGACGAGAAGAGCAGAGGGGCUAUUCAACGUGGCUUGCCCGUCACAUUCGAGUUAGGGUUAUAAGCAAGGACUUGAAAGGUGGGAAAUUUUAUUUGAAAAAAGGGGAGGUGAUGGAUGUGGUUGGACCCAAAACUUGUGAUAUAUCUAUGGAUGGGAGUAGGGAGCUUGUGCAGGGGGUGUCCCAGGAUUUUCUUGAGACUGCGCUGCCAAGACGGGGCGGAUCCGUUCUUGUGUUGUCUGGAAAGCACAAGGGGGUCUUUGGCAAUCUUGUUGAGAAGGAUUCAGACCGAGAAACUGGUGUUGUCAGAGAUGCUGAUACCCAUGAAUUGCUCAAUGUGAGUCUUGAGCAGAUUGCUGAGUUUACUGGGGAUCCCAGCGACCUUGGAUAUUGAUUCAUAGGGUGUAUAUACAUAUGAUAUGGAGACACCAUCCAUCCAAGUUGAUACCUUCUGUGUUAAUGGGGGUCCUGACGGGAUAUAUUAGUGGCAUAAGGGGAAAGGUUGAAUGCCUUUCAGAGGAAGAUUUGGGGAAAAAAUGAGACAGAGCUUGUAAAGCAGGAGAUGAUCAAAGAGAAGUGUUACCAUUUAUUCCUAAGGAGCCAUAUGAUGUGAUUGCAUGUGAUUGCAAGAGUUACCAUUUCUACAGGUACUUAUGGAAACGGCUUUCAAUUUAUAGGAUAUUACAUAAAGUAAUUCGUGUUUAUUUGUGAGAACUUCAGGUAUCCAUGUCACUUCCGUUUGGACCUAUGCUUUCAAUCAUGAAGACUAGUCUCACCUGAUGUUUUAUAGGUGUAGAGAUUUUGAUUGAUGAUUUGCUCGAGAAUUCCUUAUCCUGGUCCUGAAAACACAGAGGUACAAAUCUUACUUGGUGGAAUUUGGACAUGUGGUCCAAACAGAAUCAUUGGCACCACAUAAGGUUGGAUAGUCGGCUAUCUGCAAUGAUGCUAAUGUUCAGAAUGUGGAAGGCUUGACAAAUGAAUUUUCUGAUCUAGAACUGAGACUUGGACUAUAACACCUUGCUAGUUUCUUUGCAGAAGAAGCUAUUAUUGAGCUUGUUCCAUAGCGUGUUAAUUAUAUGCAAUUUAAACCAACCCCUUUGUUCUAAUCUCAACAAUUUAGCCCAGAGAGUUCAAAUUGGACUGCUCCUUGUGUUUAUUAUAUUGAUCCAUAAUAUGUGCGAUGCAUGGAGAAUUUUUCAGUUCCUAUAUGAUUGCUAUUGACAGAGUUGCGGAAUCUGAGUUGGAGAGACCGGAUUGGCUCCUCCCUUUUUGCA